rnacentral:rRNA from 1 species
UACGUAGGGUGCAAGCGUUAAUCGGAAUUACUGGGCGUAAAGCGUGCGCAGGCGGCUUUGCAAGACAGAUGUGAAAUCCCCGGGCUUAACCUGGGAACUGCAUUUGUGACUGCAAAGCUAGAGUACGGCAGAGGGGGAUGGAAUUCCGCGUGUAGCAGUGAAAUGCGUAGAUAUGCGGAGGAACACCGAUGGCGAAGGCAAUCCCCUGGGCCUGUACUGACGCUCAUGCACGAAAGCGUGGGGGGCAAACAGG